rnacentral:lncRNA from 1 species
GUCACCGUUUUUACGAACCGGCCUGGGAGCCAAAAUCGAUGAAAAAAUAUAAAAUGACUUUUUUCAGUAUUUCGACUCAAUAGUCAAAUAUCUUUUAUUUCACAAAUUUGUAGGUCUUAAAACCAUUUCGUUACGUCAUUUUUGACGUCAUGAGACGCUCUGGGUUCAUGAGAAUGGACGAAUGCCGUUUUUACGAACCGGCUUGAUACGCGCGCCGCAGCUAGCUCGCCGACUCGCAUCGUCUGUUUGCUGAAACUUCGUUUUUACGAUCUGGCCUGAGGCGUCAGCUUGUUCAAACUUGCAUCAGCUGGAAACUGUUGCUUUCAGGUAGACCAAUGGGUGUCUCAUCAAACCAUACCUUCGACAGUUAAUUCGCCAUUCAUUGUUUGGUGAUUUCCAGAGCUGUUGCCUGAUUUUAAGAGUGAACAGAUUCUUACCUCUUCAAACGCAUCUGUGGUGGACUGUUACUUUCUAUUCCAAUUGUUCAUUCUACUGGGGACGAGAUGCUCAGUGUCUGACUGUCUGGUGAAGGGCUACUACUGAAAUUCCAUAAAUUGAAGCAUUCCAGGAGUGAAAGAUGUUUCAGAGAUUUUUGGAGACUCCACUUUUGAAGAUGAAGGAAAAUCACGAUCUCUUCUGAUAAAGGUAUACAUUUCUUGUGGUUUGACUGAACUUGUUUUCCUUUGGGAUAUUGAUAGAGAGAUCUCAAGACAGUAAACAUCAGUCUUCACAAUAACUCUGAUAUUGUAUUUACUGUCAAGAGCAUGUGAUAACUACUCUUGUUGCUUCAGAGACCAAAGCUCAAAACACAAUAUAUCAGUUCUUAUUUGGACUGGUAUAUUGUAUUGUCUGUAAAGAGCACGUGAUAUGGUCUAAAAUGUUUUCAUGGCAGAGAAGGACAGUUAGGUAGACCAAAGCUCAAAACAGAAUACAUGUAUAACAGAUUAACUGUGAAUUUCUGUCAAGGGCAAUUGGUAAAUUCUUGUUGCAUUUAGAGACCAAGAAGGACACUUUAGGUAGACCAAAGCUCAAAACAGAAUACAUGUAUAACAGAUUGCCUGUGAGAUGGUAUUUUCUGUCAAGGGCAAUUGGUAAAUUCUUUUUGCAUUUAGACACCAAGAAGGACACUUUAGGUAGACCAAAGCUCAAAACAAUACAUGUACAACAGAUUAACUGUGAGAUUGUAUUUUCUGUCAAGACUGUAAGAAGUAUUUUUUUGUCCAGAGCAAGUGUACAAAUUUGUUAAAUUUAGCAAAUAUGAAAGACUCCGAUAUUUAAACAAUAGCUUAGAUCAGAAUACAUAUGUUGUUAGAAAGACUGUCAAAAUGCAGUUUGCUUGAAGUGUGGGUUUUUGUUUUAACCUAAUAUGAUGAAAUAGCUACUUGAUUUCCUAAACUGGUUUAUGUUCUCAUUUAGGAAUAAAUGUCACAAUUGCAUAUGUGUGUUGGGAAAAAAUUCAUGCAAAUAUUUUUAUCGCAUGUUUCUUUUCACAACAAAUUUUGAAACUCAGGUUAUGAAAUAAGUGUCAUUUUUACAAUUAAAGUUUUGCAGACACAACUUGCUACAGAUCUGAUUUUUCUUGUCAUAUUUUAUUUGCAAUCAAAUCCACUGCAGUACAAUUAACAGUCUUGAUGUUGCUUGAUUUUAUUUAUGGUGCUUUGAACAGAUCGUAAUAUAUUCAUGCUUGAAAUUCUAUAUAUUAUCCUCUGCCAUGUACUUGCCAAAUAGUAUAAUGACUACUCACGAUCCGUCUUUCAAGACUAGUUUGCAAUUCAUGAAAUAUUUUCAUUUGUUUUUAUUUGUUAAACUCUGAGAUUAUCUAUUAUUGUUUUGUAUUUAAAAAAAAGUGUUGUUUGUUAGAAAUGAGAUUAUGACCCUUUGGGUUUCAUGUAUUAAUGGUCAGUUUAAAUUUAAAUUGGUGUACACGUCUGAAAGAUUCUAAACUGGUUAUUAAAAAGACAUUUUUUCAAUAUGGAACCACUUUGGAACUUGAUUUGAAAACAAAAUAGAAUAAUGGGCAUGCAAAUCUUUCUGCUAAACUUAUAAUUUUGAACAGACACUGUAACAUUACAACACACACAAAAGAAAAUGGCAGUAAGAGGCAAGAGAUUUUUUAGAUUACACAGAACAUGGUGAGAACAUUCUAGGACACCAUCAUGCAUUUGUGUAUUAUGUACAAUUUACUGUACAUAGUGUGAUCAAUUUACUGUACAUAGUGAUGCAUGGAGUUUGAUUUAUUUUUAAAAAUGGUUAAUGUUUUAAAAUUAGUGUUUAAUGUUUAAAAAUGUUCAACUGGAAGCUUAGUAAUAAUAUGUGUUCAUAAAAUGGUUUAUCUUUCACCUUCUUAAGUGAGUUUACAAAAUAAAUGGAAAUGAUUGUUGCCAUUUUUGUAUUUGAAUAAUCAAACCUGCAGUCGAUUAUUAAGAUAUUCAUUAAACAGAAGAGAAUAAACUUUUAUCCAGGUAAGAGAAAUAAAAUCAUAAAUGUUUAUACUGUAUGCAAAUAAUAAAAGUGCAUUUUGAUAAUAUAGACUUAUAAAACAAAUUUAUUGAAAAACAGGUUUUCAAAUGCAGUACGCUGUCAUACGUUGUACAUUCAAAUAUGUACACAGAUAUAUCCUUGUGUCAAUGGCAAUGAGGGUGAUAAUGUGGGGUGUUUUUCUUUGUUAGGCAGGGGCAUUUUUAAUCUAAUUGAUAAGAUGUGUGUUUUAUGUUUAUAUGAAGUGCUUCUUUUAAUUUUCUUAUAAGAAUCUCAGUUAUAAAACUUAACCAAAUUGGUGUAAUUUCCUGAAGUACAUUUAAUGUAAAGUUGGUAUAUAGGAGACUGAUGAAUUAGUUAAUGUUAAAGAAAAUGAAGAUGUACUUUUAUAUGUCUCAUUGUGGAUGUUGACAUGGUUUUUGUAAAUGCAGGUAUAUUAUCUACAUGUAUAUGAAUUUUUAAUGAGUAUUUUCAUUGUGUAUCCUUUCUAACAUUUGAUAUAAUUGAAACAAAUUUCUAUGAUCUUGUGUUGUCUAUGUUUGGAAUUUCAAUUAAAGGUGUAUUUUCAUCUUUUAUUCAAAGGUUUUAGAAUUUACUUGAAUUUUCCUAAUAGUAAAUUUAGAAAGAAAAAAAAGGAUAGUUUAGUUGUUAUGCAUCACCAAAAGAGAGGGUGAAUGAAAUGGAGAGGGACACAGCAGUCAGGAAAAAGAGAGGGGAUGAUUAUGAAUAAGGUGAUAAAGAGAGGGAAAAUGAACAGGUAGAGGGGUUGAGGAGGUAAAGAGGGGGCUAUGAAGAGGAAGAGAGUUGUCCUGAAACAAAGGUUGACAGAUGGAUCAAGGGAUAUCAGGAAAAGAGG